CGACCUCUGCGGCGCGUUCGACGGCGAGACGCCCGCCGACCCGGCCGAGCUGGCUGCGAUCCAGCGCCUGCCCGGCCUCGCCGACACAUUCUUCGCCAACGUGCGCGAGAUUCGGCUGCCGGUGAAAGCUACCCUCAGCACCCGCUCUAUGGACUCGUCCGACAUGUUCACCAACCUGCACGCGGACGACACCGUCGCCAGCAUUCUGAACUGCACGUCCUACAGCAACGUGACGCGGGCCCAGCGGGGGGUGCCGAGUGCCGCCGCCGCCGCCCGGAGCUCGGCCGUCCAGCCGCCGCCGCCGGCGCCACUGCCGCCCGCUGAGCCGGCCGCGUACACCCUUCACAC